rnacentral:rRNA from 1 species
ACGAACGCUGGCGGCGUGCCUAACACAUGCAAGUCGAGCGAGAAAGGGGAUAGCAAUACCCCGAGUAAAGCGGCGCACGGGUGAGUAACACGUAGGUAACCUACCUCUAAGACCGGGAUAACUCGUCGAAAGAUGGGCUAAUACCAGAUAAGACCAUAGUCUCUUCGGAGAUCGGGGUCAAAAGGUGGCCUCUGCAUGCAAGCUAUCACUUAGAGAUGGGCCUGCGCACCAUUAGCUAGUUUGGUAGGGUAACGGCCUACCAAGGCAAAGAUGGUUAGCUGGUCUGAGAGGAUGACCAGCCCACACUGGAAACUGAGACACGGUCCAGACUCCUACGGGAGGCAGCAGUGGGGAAUCUUGCGCAAUGGGCGAAAAGCCUGACGCAGCAAACGCCGUGUGGGUGAUGAAGGCCUUCGGGUCGUAAAGCCCUGUCGGAAGGAACGAAUGUCCCUGGGGUGAAACAAUCCCAGGGAGUGACGGUACCCUCAAAGGAAGCACCGGCUAACUCCGUGCCAGCAGCCGCGGUAAUACGGAGGGUGCGAGCGUUGUUUCGGAAUCAUUGGGGCGUAAAGGGCGUGUAGGUGGUUUUGCUAAGUCAUGUGUGAAAGCCCCCCAGCUUAACUGGGGAAGUGCGCAUGAAAACUGGCAAGCUAGAGUACCGAAGAGGAAGGUGGAAUUCCCGGUGUAGCGGUGAAAUGCGUAGAUAUCGGGAGGAAACAACCGGUGGCGAAGGCGGCCUUCUGGUCGGGAUACUGACGCUAAAAACGCGAAAAGCGUGGGGAGCAAAACAGGAAUUAGAUACCCUGGUAGUCCACGCUGUAAAACGAUGGGCAACUAGGUGUCCCGGGGUAUUGACCCCCUGGGUGCCGCAGCUAACGCAUUAAGUGCCCCCGCCUGGGGGAGUACGGUCGCAAGAUUAAAAACUCAAAGGAAUUGACGGGGGGCCCCGCACAAGCGGUGGAGCAUGUGGUUCAAUUCGACGCAACGCGAAGAAACCUUACCUGGGUUAGACAAACGGUGGGACCCGCCCUAGAAAUAGGGUUUUUUCCCUUCGGGGGACUGCCGGUUUCAGGUGCUUGCAUGGCUGGUCGUCAGCUCGUGCCGUGAGGGCGUUUGGGUUUAAGGUCCCCGCAAACGAGCGCAAACCCCUUGCCCCUUAGUUUGCUUACCAUUAAGUUUGAGCACUCUAGGGGGGACUUGCCGGCGUUUAAGCCGGAGGAAGGCGGGGGGACGACGUCCAAGUCAUCAUGGCCCCUUAUAUCCAGGGCUACACACGUGCUACAAUGGGCGGUACAAAAGGGGGGGUUUGCAAAACCCGCGAGGGGGAAGGCCAAAUCCCAAAAAAGCCGCUCUCAGUUCGGAUUGGAGUCUGCAAACUCGACUCCAUGAAGGCGGAAAUCGCUAGUAAUCGCGGAUCAGCACGCCCGCGGUGAAUACGUUUCCCGGGGCCUUGUACACAACCCGCCCGUCACACCAUGGAAGCCCAAGCUGUACCGGGAAGUCCGGUGCGCCCAACCCGCAAGGGGGGGUAGCCGCCUAUGGUAUGGACUGGUGGACCUGGGGUG